rnacentral:rRNA from 1 species
GAUGAACGCUGGCGGCGUGCUUAACACAUGCAAGUCGAACGAAGCACUUUAUUUGAUUUCCUUCGGGACUGAUUAUUUUGUGACUGAGUGGCGGACGGGUGAGUAACGCGUGGGUAACCUGCCUUGUACAGGGGGAUAACAGUUGGAAACGGCUGCUAAUACCGCAUAAGCGCACGGCAUCGCAUGAUGCAGUGUGAAAAACUCCGGUGGUAUAAGAUGGACCCGCGUUGGAUUAGCUAGUUGGUGAGGUAACGGCCCACCAAGGCGACGAUCCAUAGCCGACCUGAGAGGGUGACCGGCCACAUUGGGACUGAGACACGGCCCAAACUCCUACGGGAGGCAGCAGUGGGGAAUAUUGCACAAUGGGCGAAAGCCUGAUGCAGCGACGCCGCGGGAGCGAAGAAGUAUUUCGGUAUGUAAAGCUCUAUCAGCAGGGAAGAUAAUGACGGUACCUGACUAAGAAGCACCGGCUAAAUACGUG